GGAAAUCUCACCAGGCCCGGACACUGGAAGGAUUGACAGAUUGAUAGCUCUUUCUUGUUAGCAAUAACAGGUCUGUGAUGCCCUAUUAAACUUGACACUGUCAGUCUCUUAUGACUGCGGUGCGCUUCUUAGAGGGAUCAUCGGCGUCCCAGCCGAAGGAAAGGGAGCAAUAA
rnacentral:rRNA from 1 species